AAAUAACAAUAGUAAGUUAUAACAAUUAAACUUGUAUAAUCUAACAGCCUCAAAAUAUAAAAAGUUAAAAUUGAAGAUGACAAGAAAUGUUCAAAUUUGGAAAGAAAUUAAACUGCCAUUUGUGAGUUCAGAGAAACUAGGCAAUGAGAAAGUAAAAUAACUUACACUAGAUGUUAGCAUUUCAGUCUUUAAUGCUCACCACUUAGUGUAUCAUCAUUUCUAAGGGUAGAAAAAAAUGAAAAAGUUAUAGCAGGUAAGGUUUUGUGACUCUUAAAACCUUGUCUUUUUCCAUGCAUGCUUCUGUGAAAAUAAUAACUUGCUUUUUCAGUAGAAAUGCCAACAAAUAUACCUGUUCAGUGAGUCCUUUCUAGAUUAUUAAAAGAGAACAAUCCCAUGGCCAUAAUUUUACCAAUUUUUCUGUUAGUUCAAUAAUAAGUGAAGGUGAAGGGAGAGGACCACCAAUUCUGUGUUCCUUAUUUGUGUUCUCAUUUACUCUUUCCGUCAACCUUAGUAAGUAUUCUUUUAACUCUGUUUAACUGAUAAGAAAUUGAGACACCAAAGAAAUUAAGUAACUUAGCUAAACUUAUACAGUUUAUAAAACAGGAGAGCCUAGAUUCAAACUUGUUUUAGUGCCAGAGCCUCAGCACCAUCCUUAACACCAACACCACAACAAUCCCUGAGUAUAUACUGAGUCUUGUAUUGUGAAGAAGAGGAAAUAGUAAAAUCAGAUCCAAAGAUCUGAAAAUGAAAAGUCUAAAUAAGAACACUUAAUUGAAAUACAUUAAUCAGUGUUUCAAGAUGAGUUAGUUCUUGAUAGCUAGAUUAUGAAACAUACGAGUGCCGAAAAAGAAACCUGGGAAAGAUACUUACCUUAUAAUGAAAUAUAUUCCUUUUCUUGCUUUCAAUAGUUUCCUUUAUAUAUGCUGCUUAUGUGUAUUGGUGUAAAUGGUUAAAAAUUUUAAUAACUCCAUAAUCUCUUUUUUCUUUUUCCUUAAGAUUGUUGUUUCUUAUUUUCAGAAGAGUGUUCCAAAUUUUUGAAUCCAACAAUUCUCAAAGUGAAAGUAUGUUGUCAUAAAUUCAUGAAUCCAAGUAUUUAAAAAUAACAUUUUACUAAUACUUUAUACAUUUAUCUCUAAACAUGGAAACAUGGCAAUAUUCAAGUUUUAUUUGAAUUAACUAUUAUAGUAAUAAAGCCAGAGAAUUUUAUUAAGGUCACACUGAAACUUUUUCAUUUCAUACAUACAGUUUUAAUACAAAUGAACUUAAGACUCAUCUACUUAACUAACAAUUUAAGUUCUAUGACUUUACUGAACAUUUAUUACUAUAUUCUUACAGCAUCUUUCCUAACAAGCUUGCAGGAACCAGAUUAAAUGCCCUUGACUCCAGUUACUACCAAAGCAAAUCCUGGUAAAUUAUAUCUGACAUAUGUCACACAUGACAGUCAAGACGUGUUUUAACUUCUACAAAUUCUAUAGAGACUUUAUUAUGAAUUUCAUAAAGAACACUCUGUCAUAUUUUACUUUUUUAAUGAAAUGUAGCUAAAGUUGGACAUGGGCUACACCUUGAAGAAGUUUAGGAUGAAACCUAUGUGUAUAUAGGUCCCUUGGCUAUCAUCUAAAUUGUAUAUUAAAGUCCUUGUUAACUUGGAAGCUAGGAACAUAUACAUCUUUAUGUAAUGUUUUAAGUAAUUUCUUCCAAAUUCUUUAAAUUCAAACUAUACAGUCCCAUAGUUAGCGAGGCAUGAUGGGUACUUUUCCAGUAUUUGCAUGGUAGAUUAUGACUUGCUAAUAGAAUCAGAGUGAAAUAUUAUAAAAAAUAUCCUACACAGUCUACAUAAUCUACAUCCUUAAGAUUACCAUUAAAAUUCACUUACUAAAGGAAUUUACAAAGGCUUUCCUAACGCAAAGAAUCUUCAGUCCUGGUAAAUUCAAAUUAUUGCAUUAACUCUUUUUAUUUAAAUUUUUAUAAAACUUAUUCUAUGGAAACUCCCUAAAUUUUUAGAAAGAGAAACUUUUUAGUCCUGAGUUCAGUUUCAUUUUACAACUCAUUACUGGAAUGUGAUUAAAUAAAUCAUGUUACAGUAUAUAAGAAGCCCAUUUUGGUAUUAUAGAAGAAAAUUGUUAAGUACUAAAAUAAAAUGAAUUGUUUGAAAAUAUGUAUGGUUAAUUGCAUGAAAGUUGAUGGUUGGAUGUUCAUACCAUUUUAAGAUUUGGAAGGAGUAUUUUUUGCUGAAUAUGAUAGAAAUAUUCUUAACGUUCAUGAUGACACUGACCCAGUUUAAAAAGUCUAUUAGUUAAUAAUCCUCAAAGAAUAAAGUUUUUUCUUAUUAAAAUGUCCACAUAAAAAUCAGCUUCUGGAAGGUAGUUAAUUCAUAACAAAUUUUAAGUAAAACAUUUUUAGAUGUAACUAAUGUCAUAAAUCCGUUUUCUACCCUAAGAGUAUAUAUAGCACAUCUUCCUUUUUCCAUAAUGUAUUAAGAUCAUCUAAAAAUGAAUCUUAUCAGUUCUGGGGCACAAAGGAUGUCUCAAUAUAAAUGUAUAACAGUUUUUACACUGUAGCUAAGUGUAGAAACUAGGAAAUCACCCUAAUCUCAGGCAGGAAAAAAAAAAAAAGGAAAAAUAGUGAAAACUUACUGCUUAACUAGUGAAGUGUGAAAGAGACUAACCAAAUUCAACCAAGUUAUCAAAACCCAUCAUCGAUAAGUUUGUAGAGGUAGAUGUUUUAAAUAUUCAAUAUGUGAGGACAGGUAAGUCUGAGCUUGAGUUUUAAACAAGUCAUUCUCUAAAGACAGACACAUAGCUAGGGCACAGGCAUAAAAAUGUAUUUGUAAACAUAGGAUUGUUGCUGAGUUUAUUUUCAGUUUUCUUUCUGCAUAGACAUUAGGAUAUUAAAUGUGUUAUUUUAUUGAGAACUAUUCUUAUAAACACUUGGAUACUGCCUGAAUAAAAUAAUCCUAAGGUUGACUUUAUAGGGUAGGAAAAAUUUACAUCUAUUAGUAUCUUUUGAAAAAUAGUUUGCAUAAUAGGGAUAUUACUAAGGAUUUUAGGAAGUUUCUUUUACGUGUUGUUAAAAGUAUGUUAUAGAAGUGGAUAUUGUGUAGCUUUCUUUGCUUUGGUACCAAAGUUAAGACAUUUUGAAAACUAAGAUCUUAAAUAUGACUAGCAAGAAACACUCUGAAAGCAUUAAAAAUAAUCUCAAAUUGUUACUGUAUACUUUAAAAUUGUUAUCCUUUAGAUUUUUUUCUCUAAAACAAAGAAAAAAGAUAUGCUUUUUUAGGUAAUACUUUUUAUAUUAAUUAAACAUUUCCUUUAUGUACUGUCAUUGGUUGUUUCAGAACUAUGAGGCUAAGGUUUAGUCUUCUUAGUUCAUUUUUAUAUCAUGACAUAACAAAAAGGACAUGAUAAUUAAAAGCUAAAACAUUGAUCUCAUUGUUAUUAAAGCUGCUUUUGCUAUCAUGGAUAUGUUAUAUUAGCUAUAAAAUAAGAGGAAAAUAUCACAAGUUAAAUGGAACAGGUUUUUUUGGGGAUACAUUAACACUACCUGCAUUUUUAAAAUAUUUUAUAUAUGAAGAGAAAGAUGAAGUAAUGUAAUCUUUACAGAAUUUAGUGAAUGCACUGUGGAAAUACAGGAAAACAUUUUGGCAAAGAGCACAUUUGCCUACAAUAUAUUACCUAAGAAAAAUACCAAUGUAAAUCUGUUUUUGAAGCAAAAUGCAAUUAUUCUUGGACUCUAGAAAUUUAUUAAAGUUUUAGAAAAAAAUGCUUUGGUGUAUACUAAAUAAGCCUGAAUUAUAAAUAUGGGAUUAAAAUGUAUACUGAAAAUACCAGACAAGUGGAAUUAGAUUGUUUCAUGAUUUUUUUGAUUAGGGCUCUAACUAUAGAACACUGGACCAUAACAUACAGCAUGCUACUUUCAAAAUUAAUGUAGGAAAAUAAAAUAUUCUCAAUAGAUGGAUUGGCCUUUGGAUGUGUCAGAAUAUCUUUAUAUUACUUAUUCUAUAACUGUGCUAUAUUAUAUUUUAUUCCUAAACAUAAAUAUUUUAGCGUAGAAACAUUUUGGUGAAAUACUCCAAAAAUACAUACUUCAAUGGUAGUUCAUUAUUCUUUAUGAGACAGGGUUAAAAAAAGUUAACUCGUUAUAACUGGGUUUUCUUUCUAAUGUUGUAAGAAAGUUUUAAUAUAUAAUUUUAAAAAUAUGUAAUUCUUACUCUUUCCUAAUAGAGGUGCAAACCAACUCUAGUUAUUUGAGUGGACAUGAAAUUAAAAUAGUGAAAAAAAUAAGACUCCUAGCAUUGUGCAAUCAAAUGUAAAUAAAUGCUAUAAUAAAUUUCCAUGUAGUCAGUUUAAAUAUUGCUUAUUUAUGUAAUUUCUAUUUUUUAUUAUUAAAAAGAAUAUAAUGUUUUUGCAGAAGAAAAUUGGUAUAUAUAUUAAACAGGCAGCAUUUAAAGAGAAGUUGGCAUGCAUGGCCAUUUUCUAUUUUAAAAAGUUCUACUUAGUGUGUGGUGUUUUUUUAAUAAUAAACUUUUCUAAUCUGUAAAAGCAGACAAUCAAGCUUUGUAUUUAAAAGGUGAAAAAUAAUGUUAUGGUUAAGUUUUACUUAGUCCAAGUUAAUGUUUUGAAAGUCCAGAAAUCUUACAAACUAAGACCUGAAUGAAAGAUACAUAGGAAUAUUGACAGUGUCACUGUGUUAAAAGAAGGUAUUGAAUUGUACAUGAUAUAUGCAGUGAAUGUUUAUACUUGCUAAGAUGCUAUAAGAACCCCUAUACUUCUCAUAUGAAUAACAAAAGAGGGCAAGAAGUAGAUAUGGAGAUACCUUUAAGUAUAUUUAAGAAUAGUUUCAACUUUGGCCAUAGUAAUUCAUAUAAAAUACAUGGUCAUGUGACAGACUUCCAGAUAUUAUAUAUACAAAUUGUCUAUAUAUUAGUAUCUGGCAAAAUUCCUAAUGUAAACCUAGAAUUUGAAAUGUUUUACCAAAAAUAUUUAAUAUAAGUAGAAUAUAAACAAACCUAAGUAUAAUGAAAACAAAUAUCUAUAGAUAUUAUCUCCCUAAUAAGAUAGUUUUUUUGAACUUAUCUUAUUGUAACAAAUGACUUGUUCCUAUGUAUAUUCUAUAUUUAUGCCAUGCUGUGUCUAAAAAAUAGAAAACAUCUGGAAUAAAACUGUAAAAUCCAAACACCAAAGAUGUUUUUAAGUGGUUGUAUAUGACAUCAUGUGGAUAAGAGCCAGAUGAUGAUCAAACUUUUCACACUUUAUCAAGAUACCUGUUCUAUAUAUAUAACCUUUGUUCUGCUUGUUACAGAUUAUAAGUCUGUGUUAUUUAAGUAUGUGUGAAUUAAUAAAGGAAACCAU
rnacentral:lncRNA from 1 species